rnacentral:rRNA from 1 species
GACGAACGCUGGCGGCAUGCUUAACACACGCAAGUCGAACGCAUGGUAUGUGCUUGCACAUACUGAUGAGUGGCAGACGGGUGAGUAACACGUGGGAACUUACCCUUUAGACUGGGACAACCAUUGGAAACGGUGGCUAAUACCGGAUAAGCCCUGAGGGGGAAAGCCGAAAGGCGCUAAAGGAGAGGCCCGCGGCAGAUUAGGUAGUUGGUGGGGUAAAGGCCUACCAAGCCGAUGAUCUGUAGCUGGUUUGAGAGGAUGAUCAGCCACACUGGGACUAAGACACGGCCCAGACUCCUACGGGAGGCAGCAGUGGGGAAUAUUGGACAAUGGGGGAAACCCUGAUCCAGCAAUGCCGCGUGAGUGAAGAAGGCCUUAGGGUUGUAAAGCUCUUUUACCUAUGAAGAUAAUGACUGUACCACCAGAAGAAGCCCCGGCUAACUCCGUGCCAGCAGCCGCCGUAA